rnacentral:rRNA from 1 species
UACGUAGGGAGCAAGCGUUGUCCGGAAUCAUUGGGCGUAAAGCGCGCGUAGGUGGUCCCGUAAGUCCGCUGUGAAAGUCAAAGGCUCAACCUUUGAAAGCCGGUGGAUACUGUGGGACUAGAGUACGGAAGAGGCGAGUGGAAUUCCUGGUGUAGCGGUGGAAUGCGCAGAUAUCAGGAGGAACACCAAUGGCGAAGGCAGGUCACUGGCCGCAACUGACGCUGGAGGAGCGAAAGCAUGGGGAGCGAACAGG